rnacentral:rRNA from 1 species
AUUGAACGCUGGCGGCAAGCCUAACACAUGCAAGUCGAACGAGUGGCGGACGGGUGAGUACUGUCUGGGAAACUGCCUGAUGGAGGGGGAUAACUACUGGAAACUGUAGCUAAUACCGCAUACCAUCGGAUGUGCCAAGAUGGGAUUAGCUAGUAGGUGGGGUAAAGGCUCACCUAGGCGACGAUCACUAGCUGGUCGGAGAGGAUGACCGGCCAAAAUGGAACUGAGAAACGGUCCAGACUCCUACGGGAGGAAGCAGUGGGGAAUAUUGCACAAUGGGCGCAAGCCUGAUGAAGCCAUGCAGCGUGUAUGAAGAAGGCCUUAGGGUUGUAAAGUACUUUCAGCGGGGAGGCGUUACCCGCAGAAGAAGCACCGGCUAACUCCGUGCCAGCAGCCGCGGUAAUAC